CAAAGGUAGCAUAAUCAUUAGAGGUUUAAUUGGAAUCUGGAAUGAAGGGUUGGACAAAGGAGAAACUGUCUUUAGAGUAAAAUUUGAAGUUUACUUUCGAGUGAAAAGGCUUGAAUAUAUCAAAGGGACGAUAAGACCCUAUAAAGCUUUAUAAAUAACUUAGAUUUAGCUGAUUUAAAAACUUAAAGGCCGAGUUUAUAUUAUUUUAUUUUGUUGGGGUGAUGCGAGUAUAAAUAUUGUUAACUGCUUGAAUGUACAUUCUGUAAUAAUAGAAUUAUAAGAAAUAUGAUCCUUUUUAAAGAUUAAAAGACUAAGUUACUUUAGGGAUAACAGCGUUAUUUUUCUUGAGAGUUCAUAUCGAAAGAGAAGAUUGCGACCUCGAUGUUGAAUUAAAAUAUCUAUAUAAUGCAGCCGUUAUAAAAGAGGGUCUGUUCGACCUUUAAAUUUUUACAUGAUUUG
rnacentral:rRNA from 1 species